GUUUCUUUUUUUAUCUAUUCAGGUAUCGAACUCAAACGUCUUUUACACUGCGUUUUACAUUUGCCAAAACCAGCUGCAUUUUUGCGCUUGUCAUAGCCAGGAGCCUCUGGCACUUUGUUAAUAUUAUUUAUUUUUUUACGUAAACUUAAAACGUAUCAAUGAAAAGAAUGUUAAUGGCGCCGUUUUGUUAACAUUUCAAUUGACUGUAUCAUUGUAUUAACGUAAAUGUCCUCAAUUGGAACGAAAUACCGAAGGACUGUAGACCAUCACUUAGCAACAUAUAUCUGUGGACAUGGGGGAAAAUGUGAAAUUCUACAACAGUAGCGGC
rnacentral:lncRNA from 1 species